CAGGGCCCGGGGAGGAGCCAGGACCCCGGGCGGGAGAAAAGAGACUGAGGGGCGUGCGGCACAAAGAGCUUUUUAUUUAAAUUUGUUUAGAGUUUGGCGAAUUUGCAUGAAAAAUGUGUGAGAAAAGCCAGCUCCGGUGACCUCAUCCGCACCUGCCAUUAACGUUCAAUUAGCGGUUGAAUAGAGGCGCCGACGCGACGUGCAGAGAAUCCGGCGGGCCCCGCGGAGCCACGGCUGCGGGCCGGGCCCAGGGUGGGGUGGGAGUGGGGGGGCGGGGGCCGACUCCUGCGAGCCGGAGACGCUCGCCUCGUCCGCACCCCAACUCUCUGAGGGGACGUAGGAACCACAGAGCCCUCGAGUCCAAGGCGGCAUGGGGCGCAGCAGGGCCCGGGGCACCUGGGGAUGCCAGGCUCCCUCCUGGCGCCGAGGAGGGCAGGCUUGCCCCCUCCCCAGGAUAGGAGGUGGAUGGAUGAGCCCCCGUCCUAGCUCAGAUGGGUUCCCUCGCCACCUUCCGGACAAAGUGUCAAGUACAAGUUCAAGUUCAGGGCCAGGCCCGGGGGGGGGGGGCGCCAAGCCUUCUCCCGCCGCCUUUGUUCUUGGAGAGAAUCACUCCUAAGUCUCCUCCGGGCGGGGCCCGGCCAACGCCCCCGCCCCGCCCCGUGGUGCCCAACUGGGGCCGCCUCCUCCCGCCCUCGCGGCGCCUGUCCCCUGGUCCCGGCGCCCCCGCUCAGGGCCACCGAAGGGUCUGGGUACUCGGGGAGGGGGGAGGCGCGAUCCGGGUCCGUGGGAGCCUCCCCAGCCCCGCAGUCCCAGCAGCAAACCGAGCGUUGUCGGACGGAUGCUCGCGCGGAGGGCCCCAACCCAGCCAGGUCUGAUGGUUACGGUGUGGACAUGCUGGAUUACAGCAGCGAUGAGGUACCAGGCUCAGACAUGUGACCCAUGUGGCCCAAGUUCACACAGCUGGAAAGCAGCAGAUAGGAAACUCCAGGUCCAUUUCCAGAGCGUCUCUGAGGAAGAACAAGACAGAGAAUUCCUGGUUCAGUCCCUGGAGAAAGUCAACAGGGCAGCGAGUUUCUCUCCCUGGUGCUGCUCUGGAAGGAGGACUCAGUGGUAGAGGUUUAAGGGUGGAGGAGAGGGUGAUGGUGAUGAGGGCAGAUCCGGAGGUGAGGAAAGAGGAUUUUAUUACAAGUGGAACUGGAAGCCAUUCCUGGAAUGUAGACAUUUUGCCCCUGCCACCCAAUCUGCUUCCUAGACUGAGUCGGGGAAUGGUGUGGAUAGAAAUGGCAGUGGGGGACCAGCAAGCCUGUCUUCAGAGCAGAAGGAAGGAAACAAGGAAGGAAUGAGGGAGGGAGGAAGGAAGGAGGUUCAAGGCCUUCAAUUCUGAGCACUUAAAAACGUGUGUAUUUUUUUCUUAUUUCCAUAGUAAUAUAUACCUAUUGAGAAAAACUAGAAAUUUCAGAAAAGCACACGCACAAAAUAUGCCCUGCAGUCCUGCCCCCAGACUUAACGACUAUUAAUGUUUUGGGUGCGAUAAGAAGCUAUACUGAGGCUACAGGGAGCUGAACUGUAGGAAGGGAGAGAGGAAUGUCUAUUUUUUUGUUUAUACCUUUUUCUACUGUUUGAAUUUUUCUCAGGAGAAUGUCAAAUAAAACCGAGUUAAAAUAGCA
rnacentral:lncRNA from 1 species